GUGCCAGCAGCCGCGGUAAGACGAACUGUGCAAACGUUAUUCGGAAUCACUGGGCUUGAAGAGUGCGUAGGCGGUUUCGUAAGUAGGGUGUGAAAGCCCCCAGCUCAACUGGGGAACUGCGUCCUAAACUGCGAGGCUGGAGUGAGGUAGGGGUGUGUGGAACUUCCGGUGGAGCGGUGAAAUGUGUUGAUAUCGGAAGGAACGCCGGUGGCGAAAGCGACACACUGGGCCUUGUCUGACGCUGAGGCACGAAAGCCAGGGGAGCAAACGGGAUUAGAUACCCGGGUAGUCC
rnacentral:rRNA from 1 species